AGCAGCUGUGGUAAUUCCAGCUCCAAUAGCGUAUAUUAAAGUUGUUGCAGUUAAAAAGCUCGUAGUUGAAUUUCGGGGUUAGUAGGUUGGUCGUGCCACCGGUAUGUACUGGUCUCACUGAUUCCUCCUUCCUGAUGAACCGUAAUGCCAUUAAUUUGGUAUUGCAGGGAGACUGGACUGUUACUUCGAAAAAAUUAGAGUGUUUAAAGUAGGCUAACGCUUGAAUACAUUAGCAUGGAAUAACAGAAUAGAACGUUCGAUCUUAUUUUGUGGUUUCUAAGAUUGAUGUAAUGAUUAAUAGGGAUAGUUGGGGUAUUAGUAUUCAAUUGUCAGAGGUGAAAUUCUUGGAUUUAUUGAAGACUAACUACUGUGAAAGCAUUUGCCAAGGAUGUUUUCAUUAAUCAAGAACGAAAGUUAGGGGAUCGAAGACGAUCAGAUACCAUCGUAGUCUUAACCAUAAACUAUGCUGACUAGGGAUCGGAUGAUAUAAUUUUUUAAUGACUCAUUUCA
rnacentral:sRNA from 1 species